UCCCAGUGAUGAAAUAGUCACGAGUCUUACUUCCUGUCCUAGUCCCAGAGCCUGUAAAGGUGAACCCACUGGGGCUGGCUGGGGGAAAAGAGGAAAAUUAGUUCUAGAAGGAACUGUCUGAGGGAU
rnacentral:snoRNA from 13 species